GUUAUAGGGUCAAGCGAACAAGUGCAUGUGGUGGAUGCCUUGGCGAUCACAGGCGAUGAAGGACGCGGUAGCCUGCGAAAAGCUACGGGGAGCUGGCAAACAAGCUUUGAUCCGUAGAUGUCCGAAUGGGGAAACCCACUCCUUUUGGAGUAUCCAUGGCUGAAUACAUAGGCCAUGCGAAGCGAACGCGGUGAACUGAAACAUCUAAGUAACCGCAGGAAAAGAAAUCAACCGAGAUUCCCAA
rnacentral:rRNA from 1 species